rnacentral:rRNA from 1 species
UACAGGGGGGGCAAGCGUUGUUCGGAAUUACUGGGCGUAAAGGGUUUGUAGGUGGCCACUUAAGUCAGACGUGAAAUCCCUCAGCUUAACUGGGGAACUGCGUCUGAUACUGAGUGGCUUGAGUGCAGGAGAGGAACGCGGAAUUCCAGGUGUAGCGGUGAAAUGCGUAGAUAUCUGGAGGAACACCGGUGGCGAAGGCGGCGUUCUGGACUGUAACUGACACUGAAAAACGAAAGCCAGGGGAGCAGACGGG